rnacentral:misc_RNA from 1 species
GAUGAAGAACGCAGCGAAAUGCGAUACGUAAUGUGAAUUGCAGAAUUCAGUGAAUCAUCGAAUCUUUGAACGCAUAUUGCGCUCUCUGGUAUUCCGGAGAGCAUGCUUGUUUGAGUAUCAGUAAACACCUCAACUCCCUUUUCUUUUUUGAAAUGGGAGCUGGACUUGAGUGAUCCCAACACUUUUCUCACUGGAAAGUGGCGGGUCACUUGAAAUGCAGGUGCAGCUGGACUUUUCUCUGAGCUAUAAGCAUAUCUAUUUAGUCUGCCUAAAAAACAGAUUAUUACCUUUGCUGCAGCUAACAUAAAGGAGAUGAGUUCUUGUGCUGACUGAUGCAGGAUUCACAGAGACAGCUUUGCGGCAGACUUUGUAAACUCGAUCUCAAAUCAAGUAAGACUACCCGCUGAACUUAAGCAUAUCAAUAAGCGGAGGA